GUCUAGUCAUUAGUUAGAAUUAUUAUUUUUGUUAUAUAAGUCAUGUGUCAAGGUGUGCAAAAAGUACAAUCAUGCACUGUCCCUGUGAAAUACCUUUUCUUUCACUGUGUGGUUACACUAUUUUAUAAGGCACAGCCAGUGGUUACUGUCUAUAGUUGUCAGGGGUCAACUAUUUAGCAGGGGAGUGUAAAGGAGUUUCUAUAUACAUUUGUUUUGCCCUUGUUUUCACGUCGCUAUCUUCGGCAGUUUCCGGAAGUAGUCGGAAACAGGAAUUUCAUAUCACCAACAAAUACACCAUUUUCGUAAUUAUAAAUCUUUCUAAUCUAUUUAUCAUUAAAAAUAAUAUGUUCCAUUAACGUUUAUCCAACUUUUAGGUGUUUGAUGUAAAAAGAUAUAAAAUCUUUUCCCAUAGUGCAGUUCGCUAUUGUUCCAUUUCGCGCCAUCACCUCUCAUAUGUAGCGCAGUUUUCAAGCAGACAAGUCAAUCGUUUCUUCUGCUAGCCACAACAGUUUCAAUGACUAGUUGGUCCGUGCCCUGGGUCAUGUGACCACUGACCGUUGCUGAAAGGAGUGUUCUCCUGGGGGUUUUUCGUUACAUGGAUUCAUCCAUCCACAAUGAACAAUAAAGUCUCU